UACAAAGGGGGUAGGAGUAUUUUAUUGGUUUGUAAUUAGUUUUGGGGGUUGAUUGAAGAAGGGUAUUUAUUAGGUGAAAUUUUAAAAUCUCGGUUAAUCAAGGGUAAAAUAAAUGAAGUUGUGAAAUUUGGGUAUAAAACUG
rnacentral:rRNA from 1 species